rnacentral:rRNA from 1 species
UGUCGUAGCCAACGCGUUAAGUGUUCCGCCUGGGGAGUACGCACGCAAGUGUGAAACUCAAAGGAAUUGACGGGGGCCCGCACAAGCGGUGGAGUAUGUGGUUUAAUUCGAUGCAACGCGAAGAACCUUACCAGGGCUUGACAUCCUGCGAACCUCUGGGAAACCGGAGGGUGCCUUCGGGAGCGCAGAGACAGGUGGUGCAUGGCUGUCGUCAGCUCGUGUCGUGAGAUGUUGGGUUAAGUCCCGCAACGAGCGCAACCCACGUCUUUAAUUGCCAGCAUUAAGUUGGGCACUCUAGAGAGACCGCCGGUGACAAACCGGAGGAAGGUGUGGAUGACGUCAAGUCAUCAUGCCCCUUACGUCCUGGGCUACACACGUACUACAAUGCUACGGACAAAGAGCAGCAAACUCGCGAGGGUAAGCAAAUCUCAUAAACCGUGGCUCAGUUCAGAUCGUAGGCUGCAACUCGCCUACGUGAAGGAGGAAUCGCUAGUAAUCGCAGGUCAGCAUACUGCGGUGAAUACGUUCCCGGGCCUUGUACACACCGCCCGUCACACCAUGGAAGUUGGCCAUGCCCGAAGUC